CCUACGGAGGGCAGCAGUGGGGAAUAUUGCACAAUGGGCGCAAGCCUGAUGCAGCGACGCCGCGUGAGGGAUGACGGCCUUCGGGUUGUAAACCUCUGUUAGCAUCGAAGAAGCGAAAGUGACGGUAGGUGCAGAGAAAGCGCCGGCUAACUACGUGCCAGCAGCCGCGGUAAUACGUAGGGCGCGAGCGUUGUCCGGAAUUAUUGGGCGUAAAGAGCUUGUAGGCGGUUGGUCGCGUCUGCUGUGAAAGGCUGGGGCUUAACCCUGGUUUUGCAGUGGGUACGGGCUAACUAGAGUGCAGUAGGGGAGACUGGAAUUCCUGGUGUAGCGGUGGAAUGCGCAGAUAUCAGGAGGAACACCGAUGGCGAAGGCAGGUCUCUGGGCUGUAACUGACGCUGAGAAGCGAAAGCAUGGGGAGCGAACAGGAUUAGAUACCCCAGUAGUC
rnacentral:rRNA from 1 species